rnacentral:rRNA from 1 species
UGGCGGCAGGCCUAACACAUGCAAGUCGUAGCGGAUGUAAGGAGCUUGCUCCUGGAUUCAGCGGCGGACGGGUGAGUAAUGCCUAGGAAUCUGCCUGGUAGUGGGGGAUAACGUCCGGAAACGGGCGCUAAUACCGCAUACGUCCUGAGGGAGAAAGUGGGGGAUCUUCGGACCUCACGCUAUCAGAUGAGCCUAGGUCGGAUUAGCUAGUUGGUGGGGUAAAGGCCUACCAAGGCGACGAUCCGUAACUGGUCUGAGAGGAUGAUCAGUCACACUGGAACUGAGACACGGUCCAGACUCCUACGGGAGGCAGCAGUGGGGAAUAUUGGACAAUGGGCGAAAGCCUGAUCCAGCCAUGCCGCGUGUGUGAAGAAGGUCUUCGGAUUGUAAAGCACUUUAAGUUGGGAGGAAGGGCAGUAAGUUAAUACCUUGCUGUUUUGACGUUACCAACAGAAUAAGCACCGGCUAACUUCGUGCCAGCAGCCGCGGUAAUACGAAGGGUGCAAGCGUUAAUCGGAAUUACUGGGCGUAAAGCGCGCGUAGGUGGUUCAGCAAGUUGGAUGUGAAAUCCCCGGGCUCAACCUGGGAACUGCAUCCAAAACUACUGAGCUAGAGUACGGUAGAGGGUGGUGGAAUUUCCUGUG